rnacentral:rRNA from 1 species
GGGGAGGCCACAGGGGGGAAUCUUGAGCAAUGGAUGAAAGUCGGGCGAAGAAGCGCUUCGGGAGGGAAAAAGGUUUUCGCAGGGAAAACCUAUCUCAUCAGGGACAAUGUGAAAGUGACGGUACCUGCAGAAGAAGCACCGGCUAACUAUGUGCCAUCAGCCGCGG